CUGCGGCCACAUCAGGUUUAAACACCGGUUCUUUAACAAUCACUGAAGUUAAGCAACGUCGAGCCCAGCCAGUACCUAGAUGGGCGACCGCUUGGGAAUACUAGGUGCUGUAAG